rnacentral:rRNA from 1 species
AACGAACGCUGGCGGCAGGCCUAACACAUGCAAGUCGAACGCCCUCUUCGGAGGGAGUGGCAGACGGGUGAGUAACGCGUGGGAAUCUACCUAGCUCUAUGGAAUAACUUCGGGAAACCGGAGCUAAUACCGUAUACGCCCUUCGGGGGAAAGAUUUAUCGGAGUUAGAUGAGCCCGCGUUAGAUUAGCUUGUUGGUAGGGUAAUGGCCUACCAAGGCGACGAUCUAUAGCUGGUCUGAGAGGAUGAUCAGCCACACUGGGACUGAGACACGGCCCAG